GUCCAAGACCAAUGGCAAGUCCUAUGUCCAGCCCCAGGAAUAUAGAUCCCAAACAGGUCCCCAACCAAACAAUCUGGAGGACGACGACAGAGGAUGGCAUUACACUGAGUACAGAAAUCAGAGAUAUGGCACUUGACAGUUCAAGACAGAGAGGUCAAAGAGUCUUACACAGUCAGGACGGUCUUUCUUCCACAGGCCCUCAAACGCAGUGAUGUUGGCAGGCGGACCCUCAUCAGGCACCAAUCUGGUCACUACUGCCCCCACCAUGAGACUCACUACAGGGAACGAUCCUGGUGAGAAGAACAAAGCAUAAUGGUCCAGUAGCUUGCAUCAGAACUGGCAGCUCUUUGAUAUAAGAGGUUUGAGAUGUGUCUGCUACACCGAAGACUACAUUGUAAAUGCUAUUCCAGAUAACUGCAUAUGCAAACGGCAAGGUCUCACUAUCCCCCUUCUGUGUAUGUGUGUGGAAAAUUCCGAACAUUUUAUUGAGAUGGUCUAGACAGGAAAAUGGACCAAAAAUAAUGAUGACUCAUCCUGCACUACAAAUUUUUGUCCAAUCAGAUGCUUUCUAGAAUGAAACUGCCGCACCCCUAAUAACACUUACCUCUGACUAGCAACAGCAAGUAGCAAAUCAUGAUUCACACAGUUAUGUAUAUUAAAGGCUGUUGGUUCUUUAAAAAAGUGAUGAGCCUAUCGAUAUGCUCCACCCCAACUUCCUGUUUUAAUAGGAAAUACAUCUACACAGGAAAGAUUAUGUUUGACUCUCUCGGUUUAACAUUACUCAUAAUUUGUUACAAAGAAAAAAGUAGAUAACAGACAUUUUUUAAGGUUCUGACUACAGUGACAUCCCAUAUCUAAAUCAGAGUUAGCAGACUGAUGAAACACACAUAAAAUGUUAUUUCUCAGGUGAUUUAUUUACAAAUAUCAAAUGUUCUUCUGCUUUAAGACUUUCAGUGACCAGUUCUUAGAAAGAAGUAUAUGUUCGUCUAUCAAAAAUAGCCUCCUUCUGCUGUCCAUACUGAUGAACAGGUGUCCACGGGAUGAACAUCCUGUAUUGUGCUGAUUGGCAUUUGUUUGCCUCAAAAAUAAGGCUGUAAAAAUGAAAGCACUAAAUGCUUUUUAACUUUUGCAUUUGGUGUUAUUUUUCUAGUUCAGAUGUGGAAGGACAUGAUGAACAAGACUGCAAGCUUUCUUCCUUGUUAGCGCUACUUUCAAUCCUCCCAGGACAAAGGAUUUACACAUGAGUCCCCCAGAUUCUGCAACAGGAAAGUACACUAAUGGAUCCUGUUCAUUUCCACUGGAGGUUUCCAGCUGGAUGAAGAGGAUGGCGUCAUGGACCGAGAGGAAGAGAAGGUCUCUGGUAACCUCCUCGUCAAAGAAGGACAGGGCCUCCAUUCUCCUGACAAGCUCACCUGUGACAUGAGGACCCUUUAGAUAGAAAGUCAUACAGCUUUGGAAGGAUAUGAGGGUCACCAUCAGAUUGUGACCAUGCAUUAUUGAAGUAAAACCAUGACAGCAAAGAGCAGUAAAGAUGGCGCACCAGUUUGAGGGACUUGGCUGCUACCACAUCCAGGAAUGAGAC